rnacentral:rRNA from 1 species
GACGAACGCUGGCGGCGUGCCUAAUACAUGCAAGUCGAACGAGAGCAACCGGUGCUUGCACUGGUCAAUCUAGUGGCGAACGGGUGAGUAACACGUGGGUAACCUGCCCAUCAGAGGGGGAUAACAUCCGGAAACGGAUGCUAAAACCGCAUAGGUCUUCGAACCGCAUGGUUUGAAGAGGAAAAGAGGCGCAAGCUUCUGCUGAUGGAUGGACCCGCGGUGCAUUAGCUAGUUGGUGAGGUAACGGCUCACCAAGGCCGUGAUGCAUAGCCGACCUGAGAGGGUGAUCGGCCACAUUGGGACUGAGACACGGCCCAAACUCCUACGGGAGGCAGCAGUAGGGAAUCUUCCGCAAUGGACGCGAGUCUGACGGAGCAACGCCGCGUGAGUGAAGAAGGUUUUCGGAUCGUAAAACUCUGUUGUUAGAGAAGAACAAGUGCUAGAGUAACUGUUAGCGCCUUGACGGUAUCUAACCAGAAAGCCACGGCUAACUACGUG